rnacentral:rRNA from 1 species
CUUGCWCUGAUGGGUGGCGAGUGGCRGAUGGGYGAGGAAGCWUCRGAAUCKACGUUUUCAUGGGGGAUAACGUAGGGAAACUUACGCUAAUACCGCAWACCACCUACGGGUGAAAGCAGGGGAUCUUCSGACCUUGGUGGGUUGAAUGAGCCGAUGUCAGAUUYCUAGUUGGCGGGGUAAAUGCCCACCMWGGCKACGAUCCCUGACUGGUCUGARAGGAUGAUCAGCCACACUGGAACUGAGACACGGUCCARACUCCUACRGGAGGCAUCAGUGGGGAAUAUUGACAAUGGGCGCAAGCCUGAUCCARCCAUACCGCGUGGGUGAAGAARGCCUUCGGGUUGUAAAGCCCUUUUGUUGGKAAAGAAAUCCACCCGGCUAAUACCUGGUUGGGAUGACGGUACCCARAUAAUAAUUACCGGCUGUCUUCGUGCCMUCAGCCGCGGUAAUACUAAGGGUGCAARCCUUACUCCUAAUUACUGGGCGUAAMKCUUGCGUAGGUGMUUGUUUAAAUCUGUUAUGAAAGCCCUGGGCUCAGCCUSSRAACUGCA